CUAAAUACUAACCAGACACCGAUAGUGAACUAGUACCGUGAGGGAAAGGUGAAAAGAACCCCGGAAGGGGAGUGAAAUAGAAUCUGAAACUACUUACUUACAAUUAGUCAGAGCGCGUUAAUGCGUGAUGGCGUACAUCUUGCAGUAUGGACCGGCGAGUUAUAUUAUCAUGCGAGGCUAAGUGGAGAAAAGCGGAGCCGUAGAGAAAUCGAGUCUUAAUAGGGCGAAUGAGUAUGAUGGUAUAGACCCGAAACCAGGUGAUCUAUUCAUGAGCAGGCUGAAGCUUAGGUAAAACUAAGUGGAGGGCCGAACCGUAGUACGCUGAAAAGUGCCCGGAUGACUUGUGAAUAGCGGUGAAAUUCCAAUCGAACCUGGAGAUAGCUGGUUCUCCUCGAAAUAGCUUUAGGGCUAGCGUGUGAUGUUAAACUUUGGUGGUAGAGCACUGAAUAUGGAAUGGCGGCGCCUAGCUGUACUGACUAUAAUCAAACUCCGAAUACCAUUGUGAAUUGUCAUGCAGUCGGAACAUCGGUGAUAACGUCGAUGCUCGCGAGGGAAACAACCCAGAUCGUCAGCUAAGGUCCCAAAAUUAUGUUAAGUGAGAAAAGUUGUUGGAUUUCUUAAACAACUAGGAGGUUGGCUUAGAAGCAGCCACCCUUUAAAGAGUGCGUAAUAGCUCACUAGUCAAGAAAACCAGCGCUGAAAAUGUAACGGGACUAAACAUAAUACCGAAGCUACGGGUUUAAUAAGUUUUUAUUAAGCGUUAGAGGAGCGUUCUUAUCUGCAAUGAAGCUAAACCGUGAGGAUUAGUGGAGCGUUAAGAAGUGAGAAUGCCGGUAUGAGUAACGAUUGAGAGUGAGAAUCUCUCACGCCUAUUGGGGAAGGUUUCCUGGGCUAGGUUCGUCCACCCAGGGUUAGUCGGGACCUAAGACGAGGCCGAAAGGAGUAGUCGAUGGACAACAGGUUAAUAUUCCUGUACUUUCGAUAACAGUGAUGGAGUGACGGAGAAGGAUAACUUUACCAGUUAAUGGAUUCUGGAGUAAAUAAAUAGUGGUCAAUGUAGGCAAAUCCGCAUUGUAUAACCGUGAUUUAUGACGCAUAGCGAAAGGCAACAAGUAGCGAAUUAAGUGAUUUCAUGCUUCCAAGAAAAGCUUCUAAACUUAUGUUAUAGGAACCCGUACCGAGAACGGACACACGUCCCCAAGAUGAGUAUUCUAAGGCGAGCGAGAAAACCAUUGUUAAGGAACUCUGCAAAUUGACCCCGUAAGUUCGCGAGAAGGGGCGCUCAAUUAACAAUUUUAUAGCAAUAUAUUAUGAAUUAAGUGAGCCACAGUAAAUUUCAAGGGGCAACUGUUUAUCAAAAACACAGCUCUCUGCUAAGUUGUAAAACGAUGUAUAGGGGGUGAAGUCUGCCCAGUGCCCGAAGGUUAAGCGGAACUGUUAGCUUUGCGAAGCAGUAAAGUGAAGCCCGGGUGAACGGCGGCUGUAACUAUAACGGUCCUAAGGUAGCGAAAUUCCUUGUCGGCUAAAUACUGACCUGCACGAAAGACGCAAUGAUCUCUUGACUGUCUCAACAAUGGACUCGGUGAAAUUAUGGUGCCAGUGAAAACGCUGGCUACCCGCAUCAAGACGAAAAGACCCCGUGGAGCUUUACUACAACUUCGUAUUGGGAUUUGGUUUAACAUGUGUAGAAUAGGUGGGAGACUUUGAAGCCGGGACGCUAGUUCCGGUGGAGUCACCUUUGAAAUACCACCCUUGUUAAAUUGAAUUUCUAACCUGCAACCGUGAUCCGGUUGGGAGACAGUGCGUGGUGGGUAGUUUGACUGGGGCGGUCGCCUCCUAAAAGGUAACGGAGGCGUUCAAAGCUACACUCAAUACGGUCAGAAACCGUAUGUAGAGCGCAAAGGUAAAAGUGUGGUUGACUGCGAGACCUACAAGUCGAGCAGGUGCGAAAGCAGGACUUAGUGAUCCGGCAGUUCAUUGUGGAAUGGCUGUCGCUCAACGGAUAAAAGCUACCCCGGGGAUAACAGGGUUAUCUCCCCCAAGAGAUCACAUCGACGGGGAGGUUUGCCACCUCGAUGUCGGCUCAUCGCAUCCUGGAGCUGGAGUCGGUUCCAAGGGUUUGGCUGUUCGCCAAUUAAAGCGGUACGCGAGCUGGGUUCAGAACGUCGUGAGACAGUUCGGUCCCUAUCUGAUGUGGGCGUUGGAAUAUUGAUGAGAGCUGCUCUUAGUACGAGAGGACCGGAGUGGACGUACCACUGGUGCUCCAGUUGUUUCGCCAGAAGCAUAGCUGGGUAGCCAAGUACGGAAAGGAUAAACGCUG
rnacentral:rRNA from 1 species